CGUCAAGUCACCGUCAGUCACUUGGUAUCUGAAGAAAGCUGCCGGGAUCGAAUCUGGGAGCAGCCGCCCGGGCCAUGUAGUCGCCACCACGCUCUCCGUCAAGCACAUUUAUGAGAUCGCCAAAGUCAAGCAGUCCGAUCCUUAUUGCCAGUACAUGCCACUCGAAUCCAUUUGUAAGUCCAUUAUCGGCACUGCCAAUAGCAUGGGAAUUAAGGUUGUUAAGGAAUUGGAGUAAUGUAAUACCUAAAUUUUUAGGGUUUUUCUCCUCUUGUUCUUCAG
rnacentral:misc_RNA from 1 species